GGAACGACUAUCACCAUCAAAACGAGCCAGUCGCUCUGCACGACCAACGAGCUCGGCUCAGGACUCGACCUCAUUCGGUCAUGAGCACCCUUUAGGUUUUUUCACGCGAUGCUUCCUUCCAUAAACAGACGGAUCGGCUGAACGCUCCCGCGUUCAAGCAUUUCUGUGACAACCGUGAGAAUAUGCCUCAGCUACUAGCGUCGAUUGCUACGAGCUGUCAGUCUUAUCGCCACAAUCACGAUGACAGGAGCCAUGUGCGUAACCAAGGCUGCCUCGCGUUCGUACAAAAUACGCUAAACUGUUUCUUUCAAAAGCUUGCGUCCCGGUGUUAGCAGACAGGACAGGUUCGUCAGGCCUUUCGCGCGGGACCGUUUCAGUUUCAGGUGUGUGGUGUUGCAUGGAUAGUGUCAGUGUUUGCUGUUGUUGGUGUUGAUGUAUUUCUAAUUACCUGGCCAGUUCAAGAUACUAACACUUGACCUAAACGUUUCACUCUUUCUGUGACAUCCAAAUCAACGAUAUGGAAUUUUCUGCGAGGCACCUGCACGAAUCACACCAUUCUCUCGGUACAUUUCGUACAAUACCUCGUUGACGCCGAAAGUAUCGAAUGUCAGCCUAGCAGCCGCGUAAGCAUUUGCAUGCCAGUAGGGCACCCGAGAAAAGACAAUUGAUACGUGAUUGAAAGGCUAAGUGAUAAGAGUUUGAUUUUUAAUUGAAAUUCCAACACUCGUCAAUCGAACGACAACUGCCAUUUGAUGAGCAAAGUGAAAAGCAACACGAUCCAAUGAAAGAACUGACGUAUGGGAGGAUUGGUGCAACAACAGCGACGACAUAAGUGUACUGGUGGUCAGAAGGGUAACGCUUCACGACGUGAAAGAGACCCGUGCAUUUGGCUUUUUGUACAUACUAGUCCAACAAGCUCCAAAUAGAUGUUCUAUGGCAUGGCCUACGAACAUAAUUGUGUGCCAGUCCCGUUUGCUGACGAAUGGUAGAGAAGCACACUUACUAUGGGCAGGAGACUGAGAAUGAAAGAGAGCAAUAACAACGAGAAAGAACCAACCCUGAAUAAAAAAAACGAGGAAACAAAACCACCGAAGCACUCAUACAACAGCAUAUACGUUCUUGCGACCAGACAGCGCAUGGUGCUAUCAAAGCAGGUGGCUGACAUUUGAGGUGUUGCUGCUGUUGUUUGUCUGGACGGGAGUUUGACGCGUUCGAAAAUCAGUUGAACACCAGCUGAAUCAUUGUUGGGAUCCUGCUGCAGGAGCAUUUCCGAUGUAUCAACAGCAAGAUAUAGUGCACAUUGUAAAACGAUGCAUUCAACGAUGAAGGUUGCCAUGUGAAUGUUUUGUUUGCGUAGCAAUCUUCCCGUUCAUCAGACCAUAAAGUGUUAGCCCUUAGAACAGUGCAAUUGCUUAAUACAAACGUUUUAAUACUGUUUUAGAAUUUUAAAGAUGUUAAAUGUAACAUCAAACACAAAAUUUGAUAAAACAUAUGACUAUCUUAAUCUCUUUGAGAGGGACCAAAAAUAUUAGAUAAAGGAUGAUAUAGCCUCCAACGGCACUGUUCGAGAACUUGCCUAAAUUCAACCAACCUCCAUCCGAUCACUACACCAGAACAACCUGAUCAUGAUACAGAGGAGGAAAGUGUGGAAGAAAGAGCCAUAAUCACCAUCAUCAUCACCAUCACCAUCAUGAUUACCACCCUGCAACGACAACACCACCAGCUCUCGCCCAGUUUACUGUAGCCCCAGGCUCUGCUUACGAACUCCAUUGGAAAGAAAUGCAAACCUUUUCCCCGGCUCUCGAACAGGGAUCAAAUCAUGCAGAAAGGAUUCAUAUUUCUACUCCUACACCCUGCUUGAUUUGCCUGCCCGGUUCGCUAUUCGUUCAACGCAAGCUGUCCCCAUGGCGGCAUUUCAAACAAAAUCGGCAAACAACACAGGCGCACUCGUGGUAAAAUUGCAGAGCACUCAUCCCUGGGCUCCCACACCAGCUGUCGAUGAAUGAUGAUAAAUUUGUAAUUAAUUGAUGAAAAAUGGCAUCACCAUUCGCAUGCGAGUGUACUACGGACAAGCACUCCAGUACGGUGGAAAGCUCUGCAAGAACAUCAGCGCAUGGGCAAAGCAAUAACGAAAAAAUAACACAGACACAUACUAUGAAAUCCAAUUCUUUGCUCCUGCCACACGGAAGAUCCACUACCAUUUGGCCGAGUUUUGUUUGUGUUAUAACUUCCCCGUCGUCAAAACGUCGUUCAACAGCGGAAGAAAGAUGAUACUAAUUUACCCGUCAUAAGCAGACAUCGUGGAACCGGGACGUGCGCCACUCAUCUACCAAGCCAGAAAAAAUGGCUAGUUGGAGAAAAAGGACAACGAAGCGCAAACACCAGCAACAGCACAAGCAACAAUGGUUUUCCAAAGAAGGCUGAGCCAACCAUGAAAAACAAGUACUUUAUGGGAGGAAAAACUUGACAGGACCAACUCUCGCGCUUCAACAACCAUCCAGCAGUCGCACCAUGAACCUUCGAAGCGGAUACGAGAGGAUCCGUGUGAAGGAUUUCACAUCAGAAAUUCCAUUCUGAGGCAUGUCGUUGGAAUGCCUUCAUCAUUCUUCUACGUUCCAUUCAUCGUUUACACAUGGCUCGUUUGCUGCUUUUCGGACACAUGCUUUACACGCAAAAGAAACAUACACACAGAGAAAGCACACACGACAUGCACAGGGGCUUCUCAUUCCACUUGCAUGUAUUACAAAAAAAAGUCACCACCUUUUCAUUCAAAUGGUCCUUUCAGAAAAAAGUGCUUCUCUACUUUUACAUUCUUACGCAAAUAUACAAAUUUGGAUACAGCGUGUGACGUAUACCGUAAGUUUAAACGAUCUAUUGUUUUGUUGAUUCCUCUGCACAACACAUGCAGUGCACAACAUUAUUCGCUUUUGCUCAUUCAUUCUUUUUGUUACUUUCUUACUCAAAUGUUGCGUUGCGAAUGAUCAUCGGUGCUAGCGCUUCUGAUACUGUGCAGAAUUUACACAAUAGAGAAAAGCAUACGCAUGACACAAGCGCACCUCAAGUAUAUUCCAUUCUAGGGACUCUCAGGGCCAAACAUUACAGCGUUUCUAAAAGCAAACGUAAUGUGCAGGCAAACAUCAAAAAUAAAGAAAGAGACAAUCCACUUCUGAAACAUCAUCUGCCUGCUGGAAUCAUUUUCAUACUUUAAGUCGAAAAAGCAUGACGCUAUUGCGGUAUCAUUCACGACCGCUAUCCUCCAGCAAGAAUCAACAAAAACAUAACGAACGUCCGUAUAAAAGAAGUUGUAUAAAAAAUUAUCGCAAUUGUUGAGCGAAGCAUAUACAAUGUUAGAGGAUGUAUAUACCUUGCUGGCAUACAUUUGUUUCCUCCAUUUAGCUAAACACUGUGUGCCCGUUGUGUUCCUUCAAACAUUUUAUUAUACAUUCGACCAGUGGGCAACGGCCAUACAAACGCCGGGAUAAAAAUCAAUUCCUUAUGCUAUUGCUGUUUUUCUUCAUUUAAUACAAUUGCUCUUACUAUACAGGGUAGUCCUAUACUAAAAUCGUCAAGACAGCGAAUAAAACUUAAUAAUUAUCGCUCACAACAUUGCAUUAUUGCGUAUCAGUUAACAGCAUCAACAAUAAUUGUUGGGAAUUAAAACGAAGGCGGAGUAAGUUUCUUACAGAAAAUGAAAAUUUUAAGCAUUACGUGCUAAAAAACUUGUGUUUUUCAUGGUUGGUUUUUGAAAAGAGCUGAUUCCUAUCUUACGACCUUUUUAAACUAUUUUUCCUCUCUUCAGCUUUGUUUUUGUCUGUUUGUUUCAAAUGUCUGUUUAUGACAGGUAGUUGGAUACUGGUGGUGUAUGGCUCAUACAACAACACGUCAAAAUCGCUCGCGCUAUUUUCAAGAAAAAGUUUAAUAAUUUUCGGGGUCGCGGAUGGUCGCAGCUAAUUUCAACGACAAAACGUAGGAAAAAUGUUGAUCUUUCCUAUGGUAUACGACUCACGAGUGAAAUCGAGUCGAAUCAUAAAAAAAAUCACUCUCCAACAUGAAAAUAUCCUAAAGUUCUGCAGUGAUGUUUGGUUUUCAAUCAUUUAUCAACUAUAAAAAUAAGUUUUUGCAAAAUAUUCAGACAUAUCAUCAAAGUAUGACAAAAACCCUUUCCAACGACACAUUUAUUAUCAAAAUCUAACCAUCAUAUACUAAAAUAUGAUGGUUUAUGUUCGGUCGAAAAAUAGCUCUAAUUUAGGACAAAAAAACACAAAAUUUAUACUUUGAUGGCCUAUAUCUCAGUAAGUUUAAGAUUUAAACGUGAAAUAUUUUAGUUUCAACUAAGUUUAAGUAACUAUUUUGAGAAAAUGAUUAUGGUGUAAACCUACGAUGAAGAUGGUUUUUCGAUUUUUAUACAGGCGUUUGCCCAAUGUGCAGUGGAAUGAGUGAAUUGAUAGCAUUUACCAUUUAGACUGUUAUCCAUGUUGUUAAUUAUUGUAUUCCAAUUAUUCGCUGGAAAACAUUAAAAAACAUUAAAAAAAGAUGAAAGCCUUAAAUUCGUGCCUAGGAAAUGACUGUUUUAAGAAGUCAUAACUAAUAUAAUAACUUUUGGAUAACAGGACAACAACUUUCGUUAGUGAUAGGUUAUGGACGAGAAAAUGUUUCAAUAUCUAGUCACUUGCUUAAUUGACUGUAUCAUAUACAGUUAAAGGUCAGUAUUUAUUCUCUGUGCUAUGGCAUUCAAAUGGAUAAAAAAAUACAAGAUAAAACAAAAUAUAUGCAUAUGAAAUAUGUAAAAUGUGUUGUACAUCUCUGCGUGGAUGACCGAUUAUACGUUUCCUAUGCAAUGCAAAUUCAAUAAAGAAUUAUCGCAAAUUGUCACUUUUACUGAGUUUAUGCGUAUGAAAAAUCAAAACAUGUAGUCUCGGCUCAUAUUUCUUUCAAAUUAUCUACACCUCAAAGUCCUUUCUACUAGAUUACAAUGAACAAAUAAUUCAGAACGAAAUACAACACAAAGAAAUACGAUAAGAGUUUCAGAU